UUAGGGUAGCUCAGUUGGUAGAGCAUGAGACUCCUAAUCUCAGGACUGCGGGUUUGAGCCCCACAUGGGGUGAAAG